rnacentral:rRNA from 1 species
UACGUAGGGUGCGAGCGUUGUCCGGAUUUAUUGGGCGUAAAGAGCUUGUAGGCGGCUCGUCACGUCGGGCGUGAAAACUCGCGGCUCAACCGCGAGCCUGCACCCGAUACGGGCGGGCUAGAGUUCGGCAGGGGAGACUGGAAUUCCUGGUGUAGCGGUGGAAUGCGCAGAUAUCAGGAGGAACACCGGUGGCGAAGGCGGGUCUCUGGGCCGAUACUGACGCUGAGAAGCGAAAGCGUGGGGAGCGAACAGG